rnacentral:lncRNA from 12 species
CGUGGGCCCACCAGACAGCACUUCCGAGGGAGAGCAGAGCCCUCUGACAACCAACAGACGGGAAAUGUUUUCAUCCAAGAUACUAAAGAAGAACAUUAUAAACAUGCUCAGGCAAAAGGUAA